UACGAAGGGGGCUAGCGUUGCUCGGAAUCACUGGGCGUAAAGCGCACGUAGGCGGAUCUUUAAGUCAGGGGUGAAAUCCCAAGGCUCAACCUUGGAACUGCCUUUGAUACUGGGGAUCUCGAGUCCGGAAGAGGUUGGUGGAACUGCGAGUGUAGAGGUGAAAUUCGUAGAUAUUCGCAAGAACGACCAGUGGCGAAGGCGGCCAACUGGUCCGGUACUGACGCUGAGGUGCGAAAGCGUGGGGAGCAAACAGGG
rnacentral:rRNA from 1 species